CAAAAUAAUCGCUCCCUCCUCCUCCCAUCGCCCCCUUCCUUUCUCCGCUGCCCGCCGCCACCGCGCCACCCAUGCCCCCCAUGGUCCGGUCGCUGUCGCCGGACGAGCCGCCCCGCCACCCCUGCUCGUCGUCGUGCUGCCGACUUGGCACUGCCUGCCCACCACGCCGACCGCGAGCCUCUACCUCCGUCGCAAGCCACUGCCGCUCGCCGGGCGCUGCUGGUCUCGGGGGCUCCAUGUCGUGCUGGGCCGCUACUGCCCUGCGGCCCCAAGCCUCCGCAGACCGCCGGCGCUGGUUCCGCGGAGCCGCGUCUCUGACGCCCCCCGUCCCCCGAGGUUGCCUCUCCACCUCCAAGUCAACAAGAUCGAGCCACUGGCCAUGUGCCACUCCUCCUGUCUUCCGCGUUAAGUCAAAAUCCAACGAAUAGAUCCAUGGUCGCAUAGAGGAAGAGUACAAAUUUUUGGGAUGUUGAAGACUUCAAGCUCGAGGUGCGCCAGAGCGGUGGUAUGGCGAGCGAGCUGCUCUUCUGAUUCUGUUCUUGCGCGAGAGGACGAGUAGAGGAGGGCGACGGUCCCGGCAGUAGAUAAAAGAGGAGAGAAAAGAGAGGAGGCUGACGUGUGUAUCUAUUUACAAUAGGGAAAGUUUAUGUUUUUGGAGUUGGAGCCC